rnacentral:misc_RNA from 1 species
AAGACUAUAGACCUGCGGAGUACCUGCGGAGGGAUCAUUACAGAGUUUACAACUCCCAAACCCACUGUGAACCUUACAGCGUCGUUGCCUCGGCGGACCGCCCCCGGCGCGGCCCCCCUCGGGGGGGCGCCCGGGACCACGGCGCCCGCCGGAGGACCCAAACUCUUGUAUUUGCAGGAUGCAUUGCUCUGAGUGAAAACAAGCAAAUGAAUCAAAACUUUUAACAACGGAUCUCUAGAU